rnacentral:lncRNA from 1 species
UUUUUUUUUUUUUUUUUGCCUGAAGGGAGUGCCUCUUCCUGGGCUAGAAACGAGCACCGGCCUGCAGUGAGUGAGGAGCCGCACCCCCAGCGCCCCAAGAGUGGCCACGGCCUCAGGACUGGCGGGGAAGGUCCCCCGUCUCCCCUCUCCUCGGUGCCUGAGAGCUCUGCCCACUGAACGGUGAGGAGGCAGGAGGAAGAGGAGGCGAGGAAGGCGGCCGGGAGGUGAGUGAGGAAGCCUCAGCCCCCGGGAAGGUGUCCAGGAGCCUCCUCGAGACCUGAGACCUCGGUGAGGGGCAGGCUGGAGGGGGCAGCGGGCAGGCAGGUGGCCCUCCGGGACGUUCUGGGUACUGUCAGGCAGGGGCCCUUACAGGUGCCGUCUCGCAGGCCUCGCUGGCUGUACCUUGUAAUUCCCACCAGCCCAGCCCACAGCAGGCGGCAGCUCUUCCGACGCCCUGCCUGCCCCGGCCCGGCCUCUGCUGUCAUCAGCUGUGAUGCCCGUCUGGGGCAAGGUAGUGUCACUGAGGCUGGUGCCCUGAAUUCUUGCUUGGGAGAGAGGCUCCCAGACAGGAAGGGCAGUGAACUGGUCGUGUCUGUGCUGAACAGGUCAGGAGGCAGCCCCAGGCACUGAUGCUGUUUGGCACAUCCCAGCCUGCUCGCUCAUUCCCCAGAUCCCCAACCUGCUAAAAUGGAUCCAGCUUUUCCCACCCCCGAUGAGUGGCAUCCUGCCUGGGAUGUAUAGAUGCUGCUAGGAACACCAAGGGCUAAGACAUGAAGAGCUCCCUGGGGUGUGGGCUGUGUUUUCUGUGUCUUGUCCUAUUCUGGUCUGUUUCUGGGCUCCCCUGAUGUAUUUUCCUAGGUCGGGGAAAAGAGGAGGGUCCAGUCUACAUCUGUGUUCGGGUCUUUGGGAACUGGUGUAGCACAUACUAUAAUACUGCCCAGUUCUCCUCAGGCCAUACGUAGGACAGUAGCUGAGAACACAUUUGGAAUCAGAAAGAAUUGGGUUCAAAUUCUGACUUUGCCUUUUUUGCCACAAGCAAGUUAUUUUACUUCUCUUCAAACUUAAAUGUCCUCACCUAUAAAACGGGGUGACUGGGCCUUCCUCAUAGUAUAAUUGUGAGAAGUCACAGUGAUAAAUAAUAAAUGUCGAACAUCCCUGGCCGUUAGCCACCUCCCCAACCUCUAGUUAUUGCUUUGGAGAGGUUAAACUACCUGAGCCCUGAGUUCUCUUGGAGAACUUUGAGGAUCAUCUGGCUCUGUGGCAGGAGAUUGUGGUGGCGGGUAGGGGGGAGGCAGUGGUUGUUAGAGCAAGCCAUGAGAAUAAAGUAAAGGCAGAGGGUCCGUGCAGGGCAGGGAGUGAGGUGGCCCGGGGAAGGGGCCAUUUCUGAAAGAGGAUCCAGCUUUGGAGGCAGAGACAGCAGCCUGUUCUGUACAUGUCACAUGUGCUCACAUGUCCAUGGGAGACCUUGGACACACUGUUGCCACAGGGCUGCCUAGGACAGAGUCUAUGGCUUGAGGCUUCCAGUCCUAGCUCUGCCCUCAGUGGCUUUGUGAUCUGGGGCAAGUCCUUCUCUGGGCACCAGGCAUGUUAGAGAAGCUUGGAGGCAGAGACACUGGAUUACCAUCUCAGACGGUGUUUCUCUCUGAGCCUCGGUUUCUUCACCUGUAAAACAGAGCUCAUAAUAUCUAGCUUGUAGAAUUGUGACCAUAAAAUGCAAUAGUAAGAAAUACCUAGCACACCGUCUGACACGUGCUCUGCACUUUAUACCUGUCUGUGUGUAUGUUCCCUUUCUGGUCUCCCCUUCCCUCUCCCCAGCCACCUGCAUCUUUAAGAUACAUCCAGUGAAGCAGCUUUGACCCAUCUCACAAUAUUGUGAGCCUAAAGUGAAGAGUGACUAGCAUAAUAACUAGCAUAAACAGAGAUACAGAAAGUUAAGAGCUAUAAAACAUCUUUUUGUGUUAUUGGGGGACUUAAUCCUGUGACAAGGGACUUUAGAGGUUCUGUCCAGCCAUUCUCUAAGGACUCUGUGAUGAGGACUCAGGCCUCUGCAUGUAAAGGCUGCUGAAAAUCUGGGAUAGUGAAGAGGUGCCCGGGUCACAGCCCUUUCGGGAAGGCCAUUCUUUACUUUUCCCUUGGCGAUAACCCCGUGCCCAGGAAAGCCCAAUGCUGUGGAUUCUAAGUACAGUGAACUGAGGUCAGAGGGCUGCUCUGGCUUGAGCCGCUGCUGGACCACAGCACUGCAUUAGUAGGCAGGCCUGAGUCAAUAUUGACCUUCCUGGCUGGCCAGCCUGGCUCUUUGGCCUCUCAUUCAACUGGAGUGUUGACACAAGAGAUUGAAUGAGCUUUAUUAUCAUAUUCUUUUCAACAACAGCCCCAUUAUCUCUACCCUGGGGAUUCACUGGGACCUGUAGUGUGGGAAUAGUGACAAGGGCAGGGGACCCAGGUAUUUUGGCUUAUGUGCAUAAUGCCCUCCGCCCUGCAUACUCAGCUUCUCUCUGGGCCUGUCCAGUGGGACAGCAAAACCUCAAGGUACUGCUCAGCAUCCUGGGGACACUCCAUGCCUCAGCACGGUGGCUCUGGGCAGAUCUCACUGAGCCUUUGAGCAGUGGCAGUGAGGGGCACAGCCUGGGUCUAGGACCCAUCCACCCUGCAGGUGACAGUUGGGGAGACAAGGUAAUGAAACUCUCUUCAGGCCCCUCCUCCUGGUGAGACUUCAGGAACCAGGAAAUGGUGCUGGGAUGCCACCUCUCCUGACUCCUGUCAUGUGAAGAGGGGUAGAUGGCAGGCCCAGCCCC